rnacentral:misc_RNA from 1 species
AACGCACAUUGCGCCCAUUAGUAUUCUAUUGGGCAUGCCUAUUCGAGCGUCAUUUCCACCCUCAGGCUUCGCCUGGUAAUGGAGUCUUGCGAUUGCAAACCCUAAAAAUUAGUGGCGGGCGUGCUGAAAACCCGAGCGUAGUACAACUCCUCGCUAUGGGCUACAGUGCUGUCCUUGCCGUAAACCCCCCUCUAUAAUGACAAGGUUGACCUCGGAUUAGGUAGGAAUACCCGCUGAACUUAA